rnacentral:piRNA from 1 species
UCCAAUCCUGUAGAAAGAACUGG